rnacentral:rRNA from 1 species
AGUGAACGCUGGCGGUAGGCCUAACACAUGCAAGUCGAACGGCAGCACAGUAAGAGCUUGCUCUUACGGGUGGCGAGUGGCGGACGGGUGAGGAAUACAUCGGAAUCUACUUUUUCGUGGGGGAUAACGUAGGGAAACUUACGCUAAUACCGCAUACGACCUACGGGUGAAAGCAGGGGAUCUUCGGACCUUUCGCGAUUGAAUGAGCCGAUGUCGGAUUAGCUAGUUGGCGGGGUAAAGGCCCACCAAGGCGACGAUCCGUAGCUGGUCUGAGAGGAUGAUCAGCCACACUGGAACUGAGACACGGUCCAGACUCCUACGGGAGGCAGCAGUGGGGAAUAUUGGACAAUGGGGGCAAGCCUGAUCCAGCCAUACCGAGUGGGUGAAGAAGGCCUUCGGGUUGUAAAGCCCUUUUGUUGGGAAAGAAAAGCAGCAGGUUAAUACCCCGCUGUUCUGACGGUACCCAAAGAAUAAGCACCGGCUAACUUCGUG